rnacentral:lncRNA from 1 species
UCUGCUAGUCUGUAAAAUAAUAUUGAUAAUCUAAUAACUGACAAUCUAAUUGUGUACAUUUUAAAAUUUGGACUCAGUUUACUCAUCCAGCUUUACUUUGUAGAGCUGACCAGUGAAAAUGACUUUCCUGCCUGCUAAAAUUACCAACUAUGCUCAUCUCCUAACUGCUUUCAGAAUUGCCCCUCCUUGUAUAUGGAUGCCAGAGUAGCCCUUGUAUCCAAGCCUUAUU